AACGCACCUUGCGCUCCUUGGUAUUCCGAGGAGCAUGCCUGUUUGAGUGUCAUUAAAUUCUCAACCUUACCAGCUUUUGCGAGUUGGGUAAUGGCUUGGAUGUGGGGGUCUUUUUGCUGGCUUCGUCAAGAGGUCUGCUCCCCUUAAAUGUAUUAGCCGGUGCCCUGCGUGGAGCCGUCUAUUGGUGUGAUAAUUAUCUACGCCGUGGACGUCCACUUUUAAUAGGAUGCGCUGCUUCUAACCGUCCAUUUACUUGGACAAAUCAAUGACAAUUUGACCUCAAAUCAGGUAGGACUACCCGCUGAACUUAA
rnacentral:misc_RNA from 1 species